rnacentral:lncRNA from 1 species
AUUGAGAGCGAGGGAGACAGAACAUUAAACGCUACCUGACUGUAUGCUACAGUAGGAGGCUGUAUUUUUAUCAGGGGUUUCUGGUGACAAUUUAAGCUGGGAGAACAAAGCGGUACAUGAUGAACACAUGUCACUAGAAACCGGAGAUAAAAUCCUGUGCAGCCCUGUGCCACGUACAGCUUGGAUGUAUUUUUAGUUUUAAUCAUGCCUGGGAAACAACAGGGACAGCCGCCCCUGUCCGCCGAUCCCUACCCUUGCCUCGCUCUUUGCUGCCCUUGGCUGCUUCCAGUUUCUGGGAGUGCCAUGUCCAAGCUGCAGUUUCGAGCCUGGCUUGGCUUAGCCGAAUGGAACCCCUGGACAGUGACUUGUCUGAUCUUGCCCUCUCCUCGCCUGAAUGGAAAUGGUCUGGAGCCUCACGUUCAGGCAUGGCAUUCUCACCCACAGCCCUUGGUCCCUGGGACCAGUCUUGAAGGUGCAAGAAGGAGCACAGCAGCAUCGGACUGGGCAGCCGUGGGCACCUGCUACUGUACCAGGGCCUUUAGAGGAUGUGUGGAAGACACGAUACUGCCGUGA